GUAAACAAAAUCAGUGAUAGGCAUAAGAGGAGAACUCAAACAAGAACACUCCCUGAGAUGCAAUUGAGCAUUACCUUCAACUGAUUCAUGGCAAUGGAGUGGGACAUGAGAAUCUCUUUUCCUCCACUUGAAAAAAUUAGGAUCUUCCCAUGCCUUGUAACCAUUACUCGAUGGAAGAACCAUUUGACUGAUUAAAGAAGACAUCACUUUACUUGGAGUUACACCUCUGCAAAUACAGAUUUAUGUCUUUAGCCUUGAAACGAUGGAAGAACCAUUUGACUAAUCAAAGAAGACAUCACUUUACUUGGAGUUACACCUCUGCAAAUACAGAUUUAUGUCUUUAGCCUUGAAUAUCUGAAUAAAACAAAUGUACAGGAUCUCAGCUAUUGAUGAAGCUUGUAAGAUGGAUUUUCUCAUAACCAAAACAAAUUAUGGAUAAAACACAUGUGCAGAUUUAUGUCUUUAACCAAGAAUAAAGAUCUUCCCAUGCCUUGUUAACGAUUCCUAGUGAAGCAUAUACCUUCACAUGUUCUUAUCUAUGUAAGUAUUUAUGUAUAUCCAAGUUAACUGUAAAAUCCACAAUAAAAGACAAACUUAUAAUUUUUUUUAUUAUUGAUAACAAAUAAAUCCUUGAGGUCCAAUAGCACGCGGUUCGAAACUCGAUGGAUAAUAGGCACCUGCUCUACCCUUCUCCGCUUGAGCUUUUGUCCGCAGUCAAUGGCCGAAGCAGAAUUUCCUCUAAGGGAGUUCAAAAGGAAAAAAUUCAAAAAUUAAAAGAGAUUGUGGCUAGUGAAAAUGGAACUAGCAACCUCGUAAAGAUUUUGAACCCCCUUAACCACUUAGCUAUGCUUUUGAGCUGUAUCGAGUGGAUUCAAAAUAUAAUAUAUAGAGGCACAAAAAUAUGUACAUUGUACAAUGUAAUUUUUUUAUGAAAGGGGCCCCCUUGCGCCCCCUAAAUCCGCCCCUGUUCGCGGUAGGGUUCGAAUUUGAAUGUGUCAUAUACACCUAACUCACACAACACAAGUUGUGAUCUUACCACUAGACCAAUGCCCUUGGGGCAACUUAUAAAUUUUUAUACUGGGCUGUUGGAGCUUUAUGAAGGGAGCCUUAUGAAGGGUGCCUUGGCGUAAUUGGUAAGUUGUUCUCAUAUGACCAGGAGGUCAUGAUUCGAGCCAUGGAAACAGCUUCUUGCAGAAAUAAGGCUUUAUGGUCCGACCCUUCCACUGACUCUGCGCAUAGCGGGAGUUCAGUGCACCGGGUUUUUGGUGCUUUAUCAGGUGGGUAUAUGUAGUGCACAAAUAGAACAUAGCUUAAAAAAUUUAUACUGCAUAUUAUACAAGCAAUAUACCCAUUUUAGGGAUUACAUUGUCCAAUACUCAUAAACGUUUUCAAAUGGACCAUAUAUCAUUAAGUAAAUCUCUGUAGACACAUAGUAAUAGACAAAGGCACACAGAAAAUGGGUAUUAAAAAUUAUCCAAAGGAUAUGAAGUAUGGAUAUAC
rnacentral:lncRNA from 1 species